AUUGAACGCUGGCGGCAUGCCUUACACAUGCAAGUCGAACGGCAGCACGGACUUCGGUCUGGUGGCGAGUGGCGAACGGGUGAGUAAUACAUCGGAACGUGCCCAGUAAUGGGGGAUAACGCAGCGAAAGUUGUGCUAAUACCGCAUACGCCCUGAGGGGGAAAGUGGGGGAUCGCAAGACCUCAUGUUAUUGGAGCGGCCGAUGGCUGAUUAGCUAGUUGGUGAGGUAAAGGCUCACCAAGGCGACGAUCAGUAGCUGGUCUGAGAGGACGACCAGCCACACUGGGACUGAGACACGGCCCAGACUCCUACGGGAGGCAGCAGUGGGGAAUUUUGGACAAUGGGCGAAAGCCUGAUCCAGCAAUGCCGCGUGUGCGAAGAAGGCUUUCGGGUUGUAAAGCACUUUUGUCAGGGAAGAAAACUGUUUGGCUAAUAAGCUGAGCUCAUGACGGUACCGUAAGAAUAAGCACCGGCUAACUACGUGCCAGCCGCCGCCGUAA
rnacentral:rRNA from 1 species